ACUAAGGCGAAAGCUGUCGUGGGCACCACAAGCUCGUCUAUCAGGGACGAAAGUUGGGGGAUCGAAGACGAUUAGAUACCGUCGUAGUCCCAACUAUAAACGAUACCAACCGAGUAUUUGGGAAGACACUAUCCCAGCGAUCUUCUCAGAACUCAAGGGAAACCUUAAGUCUUUGGGUUCUGGGGGGAGUAUAGUCGCAAGACCGAAACUUAAAGGAAUUGACGGAAAGGCACCACCAGGAGUGGAGUCUGCGGCUUAAUUCGACUCAACACGGGGAAACUCACCAGGUCAGGACACAAGUUUGAUUGACAGGUUAAUAGCCCUUUCUUGAUUGUGUGGUGGGUAGUGCAUGGCCGUUUCCAGUUCGUGGAGUGAUCUGUCUUGUUAAUUCAGAUAACGAACGAGACCUAAGCCUUUAACUAGCCGUAGGCCUUUUCCUUCGGGGAAGGGUUAGUUUGUCGGAACAGGUUUCGGCCUGUUCCAAAACCUACGAGACUUUUGUCAGCUUCUUAAAGGGACUUCAUUCGUAAACUAGGAUGAGGAAGAUUUAGGCCAUAACAGGUCUGUGAUGCUCUUAGAUGUCCUGGGCUGCACGCGUACUACAAUAACGGUACCAGCGAGCGCUAUGGUUUUAUAACCCCUUAUCCUAAUAGGAUUGGGAAAACUUUUCAAACACCGUUAUGACAGGGAUCGAGGAUUGGAACAUCCUCGUGAACGAGGAAUUCCUAGUAAGCGUGGUUCAUCAUACCACAUUGAUUACGUCCCUGCCUUUUGUACACACCGNCCGUCGCUCCUACCGAUGGGACGAAGAGAUGAACCUGGCGGACCGAACCGCAAGGUAAGGGAAACCAGUUAAAUCUCUUCGUCUGUAGGAAGGAAAAGUCGUAACAAGGUCUUCGUAGGUGAACCUGCGUAGGGAUCAUUU
rnacentral:ncRNA from 1 species